rnacentral:lncRNA from 1 species
UUUCAUCAUAACUGGUUCUUAGCAGCUGCAACUGGUUAGGACUGUAAACCCUGAGCACCCCAGGCACGCCUGACCUCAGGGAAUCGAACUUCGAAGUAUUUCUUGACCAAUGGACUGCAGGUCCUGUUUAACCAGCACACAGAAAAAACAUCUUAGAAGGAGAGAGACGAGCAUGUCAUUUUCCAGACCUUCAGAUUGUUAGCCUGGUCGUGUGAAGAGAAAUCUGAAAAUUAUGCUGUGCUUUAUUCUAAAGAAUCUGAGAAGCCAGACUUCAAGUGUCCUGUCUCCAUCCAGAUUGCGCAUGUUGGGAAUUUGAGUGAGGUUUCAGGUGGGUCCCUGCUCACAUGCCUACCAGACAUCAUCUGUGGUCAGGACCACUGUCCCACAGCGCUGCAGCUUUUGGCCGAAACAAGAUGUCAUGAGAAAGUCUCCUUCACCUCUAUGUUGUCAGCACGGAGCACAAAAAGUCAGUAAAGUUCAACGAAAUCUCCCCACCAUGAGAGAAUAUAAAUAAGCUUCAAGAUAUUGGCUUGCUUCUGAUGUAG